AUAUUCAUAAACUAAAUGGAAUAAUUUUAUUUGGAAGUGCAUUUUCUGAAUGUAUCUAUUUUUUGUCUUUUAUUUACUGCAAUGGUGAAAUGCGGAACAAACUGCCUGUGAAGUAGGGAGUCCAAUGGAAUGUGCACAUCCCAAUCCAAGCCACGAUGACAUCAAUGGCGUCUGCGUUCGUGCUGGUGACACCUAUCUGCUGGCUUCAUAAAAAAGUGUUCCUGUCUCCCUGGUUGAUGAGAACAUGCAUUGCAGUCUAAUGGAUCAACAACAGAUGUGAUGUUACAAGGAAUCAUGGAAGACCUUGGUUGAAGGUGUCUUAUGGUCUCUAAGAAUGCAAGUUUUCAGGUAAGAUGACUUAAGAAAGUAAAAUACAGUAUUAGUGUUCUGGCUGGUGACGUCUGUCUGCCGACGAUGAGGGGCCUAGAUGAUGACAACUGGAUGCCUGGCUUCAUCGAGAAACGCUCUGUCUCCCUGGGUGAUGAGAAAAUGUAUUGCAGUCUAACAGAUCAAGUUUCCAGGUAAGAUGACUCCUUAAGACUGUAGAAUACAGUAUUAGUCAUUUUUUUCUGUAAUACUAAGUAAUAAAAAGUGCUUUUCAAAACUUCAAGUGGCUUAUUUUGAAUGCCCAAACAAAACUAGCUCCAAUAAAACCAUCAAUCCCUAACAAAACAUGAACUACCUUUUGUUCCUCUGGAAUGUGUUUACCAAAAUUUUGCGAAUUUCACAAGUUUUUGAUGGUGUGUUAAAUGCAAACAAACCAGUUCAUGAGUGAAAUUUUUCUCUCUAAAAAUUCCGAGAAUGAAACACUAACAAAUAAUGAUCGAAAACUCAAAGCCAGAUUUAUAUGCACCUGAAGUAUUCCCAAACUAAAUGGAAUAAUUCUGUUUGGAAGUAUAUUUUCUGAAUAUAUCUUUUCUUUGUCUUUUAUUUACUGCAAUGGUGUAAUGCGAAACCAACUGCCUUUGAAGUCUGGUGAUGUCUAUCUGCCAACGAGGCGUCUGCGUAUGGGCUGGUGACGUCUAUCUGCCAACGAUGAGGGGCCAAGAUGACGACAGCUGGAGGGUUCCUGUCUACCUGGUAGAUGAGAAGAUAUGUUGGAGUCUAACAGAUCAAGUUUCCAGAUCAGCUGAAGGACACAACACACAACCAGAAACAACUGAGCUUAAGAUGCUGAUGCUGGUGGGAGCGUGGAAGGCGACCAUCUGAGGUUCCUGAGAUGGCAUCGGCUGAAGACAACCUCUCGCUCAACUACUACUUACAUUCAGGUGAUUGUGAUGACUGCUUUUCUGCCAUCCUGUCAACAUGGACCGUGAAGAUGUGACAUCACAACACAAAGAGAGAUACGUCAUGGCUUGAGGAGAUAUACAUCAAGUUUUCUACACCUACUUAUGCAGGAUCCUUGAAGGAUGAACAGAGUGGAACAACUAAGAGUUGAUUACGUCAAGAUGCUGAGCCACAUUAUGCAGCACCAAUAAAACUGUUGCUUCAACACAGUCUUUGUAAAGGAGGACUGUUUCUUCAUGAUGACUGCCCUCAUCUAAGGUCAUAUCCACCAGCUUUGACUGUUACUAAGGAUGUGCUUGGACCAAUGAGUAGACUUUCCAAGAGCAUGAACAACAUUGAACAAAUCUUCCAAUGGAUCUUGAUAUUACAGCAUGAUCAUCCGGAUUCAUCUGCAGAUUGAACUCACUAACACAAUGUUUUCUUAUUGUGGAACAAUGACUUGAAUAUUAGUAUUGUUUGAAGCUUUGCAUGGUGUGGAUAAAUAGGAAGAAACUAUAAGUAUUAUAGUAAACUUGCGUGUAC